rnacentral:lncRNA from 1 species
UUUUUCCAUAUUUGUUAGUCAUGGUUUUUUUUUUUUUUAAUUAUCAAGUAAAAAUCAAACAAAGAGUCACCUCUUUUGUAAGUUGUAAAAUAGGCUUGAAGAAGAAGCAUAUAAGGACAGAAGAAAGUGUGAACCAGAUAAAAUAACACCAUCUUAGUUUGAUGAGUUUUAGAUGAAGGGAUUUGAAGCUGGGUUUGACUUGCG